rnacentral:rRNA from 1 species
UGGAUUCGUGCCCGAAAGGGAACCUGCACACAGGUGCUGCAUGGCUGUCGUCAGCUCGUGUCGUGAGAUGUUGGGUUAAGUCCCGCAACGAGCGCAACCCUUGCCAUUAGUUGCUACGAAAGGGCACUCUAAUGGGACUGCCGGUGACAAACCGGAGGAAGGUGGGGAUGACGUCAAGUCCUCAUGGCCCUUAUAGGUGGGGCUACACACGUCAUACAAUGGCUGGUACAGAGGGUUGCCAACCCGCGAGGGGGAGCUAAUCCCAUAAAGCCAGUCGUAGUCCGGAUCGCAGUCUGCAACUCGACUGCGUGAAGUCGGAAUCGCUAGUAAUCGCGGAUCAGAAUGUCGCGGUGAAUACGUUCCCGGGUCUUGUACACACCGCCCGUCACACCAUGGGAGCGGGUUCUGCCAGAAGUAGGUAGCCUAACCGUAAGGAGGGCGCUUACCACGGCAGGGUUCGUGACUGGGGUGAAGUCGUAACAAGGUAGCCGUAUCGGAAGGUGCGGCU